rnacentral:tRNA from 1 species
GGUCGUUUAGCUCAGCUGGGAGAGCAUCGCCCUUACAAGGCGAGGGUCGUAGGUUCGAGCCCUACAACGACCACCA